rnacentral:rRNA from 1 species
AUUGAACGCUGGCGGCAUGCCUUACACAUGCAAGUCGAACGGCAGCACGGGUGCUUGCACCUGGUGGCGAGUGGCGAACGGGUGAGUAAUACAUCGGAACAUGUCCUGUAGUUGGGGAUAGCCCGGCGAAAGCCGGAUUAAUACCCCAUACGAUCUAUGGGUGAAAGCGGGGGACCUUCGGGCCUCGCGCUAUAGGGUUGGCCGAUGGCUGAUUAGCUAGUUGGUGGGGUAAAGGCCUACCAAGGCGACGAUCAGUAGCUGGUCUGAGAGGACGACCAGCCACACUGGGACUGAGACACGGCCCAGACUCCUACGGGAGGCAGCAGUGGGGAAUGUUGGACAAUGGGCGAAAGCAUGAUCCAGCAAUGCCGCGUGUGUGAAGAAGGCCUUCGGGUUGUAAAGCACUUUUGUCCGGAAAGAAAUCCUUGGCUCUAAUACAGUCGGGGGAUGACGGUACCGGAAGAAUAAGCACCGGCUAACUACGUG